rnacentral:sRNA from 1 species
AAAAGAUCAUUUUAAAUCACUUAUAUUGAAUAUUUGUAUUACUUAUAAUUGAUGUAAAGAAAUUUUACAUCAGUUAAAUAAACGAUUCGUAUCUUGUUGAUGCAAAUAAUUUACAUCGAUUUAUUAACAACUGAUGCAACUUCACAUAAUAUUUGCAUCGCUUGUUAUAACUGAUGUUUAAUUUGAGUCGGUUAUAAAAACUGAUGUGAUAUUUACAUCA